rnacentral:tRNA from 2 species
GCGGGGAUCGCCUAGCCCGGUAUGGCGUGGGAUUGCUAAUCCCAUGUUCGCAAGAACUCGGGGGUUCAAGUCCCUCUCCCCGCGCCA